ACGCGUUAAAUAUGUGGUUCCGCGUCAAAGUCAGCUCGUUGGACGACACGACAGAAAAAAAAGUCCCGCAUAAAGCCUGCGCGAUGACUUUUUUAUUUUUUUUAUUUUUUUUAGAAACACGGAAAAAGGCAGAGAACAUAAAUAUGUGAAGAGUGUUGCAGUGCAACACUUCCUCCCCCGUGUUCCCAGGUGGACGCACUUUGCCGCCUGUCACGCUGCAGGAGAUGGUUCCCCGACGAGUCCACAUAUUCGGCCUGCUCGAUUUCUGAAAGACUUCGGCGAGGCCUCGAAGACAAAGACUUGCAGGCCUCCAUCACACGGACACAGCUGUUUAACCUGCCAGCAACUUUCCUCAGACAGGUGAAAUUCUCUCUCUUCUGGGUGAAGGUCAUGUGGCCAAGACAUGACACGUCUCAACCAAGCUUCACAAAUGAGCUUGUUUUUCAUGGAUCAUGAGCAGAAAAACCAUAGUUUGAGCAAUUGCGAUAACGACUUUCUGUUGGAGGUGUGUUGCUGAUCGAUAACCCUUGUUUCACAGCUGCAAAUGGCUUGUUUUUCUCCCAUUCACAGCUGUCUUGCCUUUGUGUUGGUUUUACCCUUUUUAAAAACAACCUAUUUAAUGUUUCACCAAUCAGUGUAAUUCUUCCAGAAUUUUUGCUUCCUUGAAAAAUGCAUUGGUUUAAAGGUAAGCUGCUGUGUUCUUAGUUGUUUACUAUAGCGAGAUGCAAAUACCAGGAAAUGAAAGCUGAAAUUCUGACCCAAAUGUCUUCACUGUACAACAAAAACAGAAGAAGGGACCUUGUUAUUCCGAUAGUUGUUUAAUGUGUGUGUGUGUGUGUGUGUGUGUGUGUGUGUGUGCAGAGAGAGAGAGAUGACUGUGAGGAAAUACCGUGCUGCACGCAUCCAUAUGACAAGUCUUGUAUGAAACAUUCGCAGACAUGUACAUAUAGAAUACUUGCACAUAAAUCAAAGAUUGUGGCACACACAUAUGUCAAUGCAGCCAUACACACAGACACAAGGCUGCACACACACUCACAUGCUAAUGUACGCACGCCGAGUUGGCUUUAGCCAGUAAGAACAGAGCGUGAAUCUGACCUGUGCUACCUUUGUGAAUAUGAAGCCCGAGGGAGACGAAAACCUUCCUGUUUGUGUGUGUUAUUUGUGCGUCGUGUGUUAUCAUGGGCUCGUCCUGUGUUCAGUGAGAGUAGAAGGCACACACACACACACACACACACAUGCAGCUCCCUCAAAGUCACAGCAGCCACGCAUUAAGCCAGAUGAGUGCACAAGUCAGGAUAAUUGUUGGUUCAGUCAAGGUGUGUGUUUGUUUGUAUGCUGUAGGCGAAUAAUAAUGUAUGCAAUCCCCUAUGGUUUGGUUAUGUGCACUGGUAUGUAACGUAAUUCUUAAUCUGCUUCUCAUAUGGAUGUUGGAGUACUGUCAUUUUUUAUAUAUUUUCAAUGUUGUCAGAUGGUUUCCACUGAAAUAAUAAUGAAAGCUGAAGGCUUCAUCUACUCAGUAAACGUGUAUACUAAUAAACUAUAAGCUGUUUUCAAAGUGAAUUGACCUCAGCCGUGCAUGGUACACGAUGAUGUUGGAUAACGAAUCAUCCUUAACGUUGUGAAAUCUUCUCCUAUAAAUACAUAUUUAGACUGUUGAAUUGACUAUUGAAAAAAAGCUUUCCCGUUUACAACAUUUUUAUGAACUAUAUAUCUUGAAUCAAAAAAUUGCACUAUAAUUGCACUAUAUACUUAUUAAAAACCCAUGCCCUCGCAAUAUCUAUACCAUUCUGCAUUUAUCGAUA